rnacentral:rRNA from 1 species
GAUGAACGCUAGCGGCAGGCUUAAUACAUGCAAGUCGAGGGACAGCACAGGUAGCCAUACUGGGUGGUAACCGGCAAACGGGUGCGGAACACGUACACAACUUUCCUUUAAGUGGGGGAUAGCCCAGAGAAAUUUGGAUUAAUACCCCGUAAUAUAGUUGAAUGGCAUCAUUUGAUUAUUAUAGCUACGGCGCUUAAUGAUGGGUGUGCGGCUGAUUAGAUAGUUGGCGGGGUAACGGCCCACCAAGUCUACGAUCCGUAGCUGAUGUGAGAGCAUGAUCAGCCACACGGGCACUGAGACACGGGCCCGACUCCUACGGGAGGCAGCAGUAAGGAAUAUUGGUCAAUGGACGCAAGUCUGAACCAGCCAUGCCGCGUGAAGGAUUAAGGUCCUCCGGAUUGUAAACUUCCUUUAUUUGGGACGAAAAAGGGCCUUUCUAGGUCAACUGACGGUACCAGAUGAAUAAGCACCGGCUAACUCCGUGCCAGCCGCCGCCGUAAAAC